CACAUGGGAGCAUAUCUAUAAAUGUCUCUAGACAGCUCCAUCAUCCAUCUAUCUGUCUAUGGUUCAAAAAUUUCUGAAAAGCUUUUAAUGCUUGUGGACAUUUGUACCCCUGUGAUGAAGGUAUAGUGGGAUGAAGAUAUCUGUUGAGAAUUUUCUUCUUUUUUCCAGGUCUCACUGAGUGACUAAGUUCCCUUGCCCAGGCUGGGCUUGAACUUGGGAUCCUCCUACCUUAGGCUCCUGGAGUGCUAGGACAACAGGCGUUCUCGUGCCUUAUCACUCCUGGCUAUAAAAAAGGAACUUUACGUAAAGAGCCGAGAAGAAAAAGUCUGAAUGAAAUAACAUCUUCUAAACGUGGAAGCUUUGAUAUCUAAGAAGAAUCAAUUUAUAAGAAAAGGACAUUUUACAUUCAGCCCACUAUGUACUUCCCUCUCAGCCAAUCUGUACCUUUAGCUCACUUCCCAGUGACUAUGUGUCAGUCUGUGUACACAAAGUGCCGAAGCUCAUUUGCAGCAGCACUGUAUAUUUGGCUGUUUUCCUUUGUCUACACAAUUAAAGCCAGCUGGUUUUCUGGUUAGGAUAUCAGUUCUAUAUUCACGUUGGCCACAGAAGGC